AUCUACAGCCAUACCACCUUGAACGUGCCCAAUGUUGUCUGAUCUCAGAAGCUAAGCAGGGUCAUGCCUGGUUAGUACUUGUUUGGGAGACUGCCUGGGAAUACCGGGUGCUGUAGGGU
rnacentral:rRNA from 1 species